AGAGCGAACGCUGGCGGCGUGCUUAACACAUGCAAGUCGAACGCGCAGCAUUCUGUAGCAAUACAGGGUGUGGGCGCGUGGCGAACGGGUGCGUAACACGUGGAUAACCUUCCUUCAGGUGGGGAAUAACCCAGUGAAAAUUGGGCUAAUACCGCAUAACAAAACGAUGAGACAUCUUGUUGUUUUCAAAGGCGCAAGUCGCCAGAAGAGGGAUCCGCGGCCGAUUAGCUUGUUGGCGAGGUAAUGGCUCACCAAGGCAAUGAUCGGUA
rnacentral:rRNA from 1 species